rnacentral:rRNA from 1 species
ACGUCUACAUUAGAUACCCCUGUAGUCCCAGCCGUAAACUAUGCGCGUUAGGUGUAUCGGUGACCACGAGUUACCGAGGUGCCGAAGGGAAACCGUGAAACGUGCCGCCUGGGAAGUACGGUCGCAAGGCUGAAACUUAAAGGAAUUGGCGGGGGAGCACCACAACAGGUGGAGCCUGCGGUUUAAUUGGACUCAACGCCGGGAAGCUCACCGGAUAGGACAGCAGAAUGAUUGCCGGGCUGAAGACCCUGCAUGACUAGCUG